AUGGUUUCUUCUCGCUGUCACCGGCCGCAUAUUUGGAAGUGGGCCAUUGUGAGGAAGGUGGACAUGCUUGACGGGGUCACCAUCUUGAGGUCCAAGAAGGUCAAGGAUGAGAUCGUGCUCGACGACAAUGACAUCGAGCUCGUCUCCCGCUCUGCCGCCCUCAUCAACCAGUGUCUUUAUACGCUACUUUGGCCGCCUUGCUGUUUGUUGAGCGUUGUGCUGCAUGUUUAG
rnacentral:rRNA from 1 species